GAUGAACGCUGGCGGCGUGCCUAAUACAUGCAAGUCGAGCGAACAGACGCGGAGCUUGCUCCUCUGACGUUAGCGGCGGACGGGUGAGUAACACGUGGAUAACCUACCUAUAAGACUGGGAUAACUUCGGGAAACCGGAGCUAAUCCCGGAUAAUAUCUUGCACCGCAUGGUUCAAUAGUGAAAGACGGUUUUGCUGUCACUUAUAGAUGGAUCCGCGCUGCAUUAGCUAGUUGGUAAGGUAAAGGCUUAUCAAGGCAACGAUGCGUAGCCGACCUGAGAGGGUGAUCGGCGACACGGGAACGGAAACACGGUCCAUACUCCUACGGGAGGCAGCAGUAGGGAAUCUGCGGCAAUGGUCGAAAGCCUUGCGGAGCAGCGCCGCGUGAGUGAUGAAGGUCUUCGGAUCGUAAAACUCUGUUAUGAGGGAAGAACAAAUGUGUAAGGAACUAUGCACGUCUUGACGGUACCUAAUCAGAAAGCCACGGCUAACUACGUG
rnacentral:rRNA from 1 species